rnacentral:lncRNA from 1 species
AUCUUGUCUAGGUGGAGAGCGUGUCGUUUCAACUGAUGAGUAGAUCAUGGCCCAAAUUGAUGCGACAGAACAUGCCUUGGGUGACCGGCUUCUAGCUCUUCACUUGGUGAGUGCUUGUCUUCAUACAUAUAUGGCUUGCUAUCUUGUUGUGACCCUUGGGCUCAUUGGGCCCACUUAGCAUUUCAGGUAGAGGCCAUGCCGAAGCCCGUGCACCUCCUUCCGAUUCUCAAGGGCCAGAUCCGUUUCAUGAAGUCGUUAGUGAACUUGGAUAAGGACAAGUAUUACCAUAUGCCCUUUUGAAGGUGGGGAAGAGGUGGUUCGCUGAUUUAAGGUGGAGCAUGACUUGUGGCCUAAUGAGACCCCGACUCCUUGACGCGCGCAACCUAGAGGCCACCGAGGUGUCUUGCCGCUCUCUGAGUCAUGAUGGCUUACGGAGCACUUGGACAACGUGAAGAAAAGUGCGAGUCGCUUUGAGGAGAAAUACUAGGCC